rnacentral:rRNA from 1 species
GACAGAGGUCCCGAGCGUUAGGCGGAAUCACUGGGCUUAAAGCGUGUGUAGGCGGAUGCCUAAGUACCUUGUGAAAUCCCACGGCUCACCCGUGGAACUGCUCGGUAUACUGGGUGUCUUGAGCCACUUAGGGGCUACCGGAACAAAUGGUGGAGCGGUGAAAUGCGUAGAUAUCGUAAGGAACGCCAGUGGCGAAAGCGAAUCUCUGGGCAGCAGCUGACGCUGAGGCACGAAGGCCAGGGGAGCAAACGGG